rnacentral:rRNA from 1 species
UGCCUAAUACAUGCAAGUCGAGCGAGAUGUUAGCGCAUGAACCUUCGGGGGAUUAUGCUAACGGAAAGCGGCGGACGGGUGAGUAACGCGUAGGCAACCUGCCCCUGACAGAGGGAUAGCCAUUGGAAACGAUGAUUAAAACCUCAUGACACCGUAGAAGCACAUGCUUCAUCGGUCAAAGAUUUAUCGGUCAGGGAUGGGCCUGCGUCUGAUUAACUAGUUGGUGAGGUAACGGCUCACCAAGGUGACGAUCAGUAGCCGACCUGAGAGGGUGAUCGGCCACAUUGGAACUGAGACACGGUCCAAACUUCUACGGAAGGCAGCAGUAGGGAAUCUUGCACAAUGGGCGAAAGCCUGAUGCAGCAACGCCGCGUGAAGGAUGAAGGCCUUCGGGUUGUAAACUUCUGUUCUAAGGGAAGAAACAAAUGACGGUACCUUAGGAGCAAGCCCCGGCUAACUACGUGCCAGCAGCCGCGGUAAUACGUAGGGGGCAAGCGUUAUCCGGAAUUAUUGGGCGUAAAGAGUGCGUAGGUGGUUACCUAAGCGCAAGGUUUAAUUUAGAGGCUCAACCUCUACUUGCCUUGCGAACUGGGCUACUUGAGUGCAGGAGGGGAAAGCGGAAUUCCUAGUGUAGCGGUGAAAUGCGUAGAUAUUAGGAGGAACACCAGCGGCGAAGGCGGCUUUCUGGACUGUAACUGACACUGAGGCACGAAAGC